rnacentral:lncRNA from 1 species
UACAUUGUACUCAUCUGAGUCUUUAACUUGAAACUUAUAGGAGGGACAUCCGCAAUGUAUACUCGCCUAAAGAUAUCGUAUAGAAGAGCUACAAGAUUGGAGAGAGUUAUAAGAUCGCUAGAAGAGUUAUGAGAUCGCUGGAAGAGUUAUGAGAUCAUAUAAAGAACUAUGAGAUCACCAGAAAAGCUAUAAGAUCUCCCACAUAUCACACAACUCAUGAUCUCCAUCAGUUAUCAUAAUCAAGCACCACGUUCUUCACUUCUUGAAAAAUAGGAGACCAUAUUCCUACCAUUCAAGGUGCUUAUCAAUAACUCUUAUGUAUAGAACUCCAUAAUAUAUUCGAUACAGAUCUUCCCAGUAUAUAUCUCUUAUGUAGAUCUCCACAAUAUAGAUCUCAAUAACCAUUUUAGCUCUUCAAGCAAUAUAAGUCUAAACAUUAUUGGUGUGAUGUACAACUAAGCCUUAGCUUAAUAGAUUUUCAUAUUUCGAGUCUUUAACUCGGAACUUAUAGGGGGACAUGUGAUACGGGCUCGCCUAAAUAGAUUGCUACACGCGACCAAGAGCUUGCCUAAUUAUGAUUCCAACUGAUCCUUGAUAAAGAUCGGUUAAUUAAAGAGACAGAUAUUCACUCUAAUGCAACCUAUUUCUUUGUAUACUCGAAAUAGGACUCUUAUCUAUGUUAAUGAGGCCAUGGAC